rnacentral:rRNA from 1 species
UUAGCUAUGUUGGUUCAGAGCAUAAACACACAGACUUAAGGAAAGGAUAACAACAGAUCCAGCUGCUAUAUAUUUCUUUUUAAAUUUCAUAAUUACCUCAUUUCUAUAAUUAUUUAUAUGAUGUCUUCAUUAUUAAAUGAUUAAAUAAAUUAAUUAACCAAUUAAUUAACUAGUAAAUAUUCCACCUCUUUUUAAGUUGUAUGUCAAGAAAUUUUAUAUAUUAAUAAUAAAAUGAAAUUCUCCCAAAGUCAGAGUUUUAUUUCUAACUUUUGAGAGAACUUCAUUUUUGAUUCAGACUUUUUCUACUGCUAUUCCUUACGCUAUGAGAUCAGAUAAAUUCUUUUUUAUCACUUCUCCACUUGGCAAUCUUAAUUCAAUCGUUCCAUCCAUAUUGAAUAUAACACUAUCUAAACCUAAUCCGUAACUAGCUGUAAAUUUUUCUAAUUUUUCUUGUACAGGAUCUACUGCUGGAGCUUCCUCUAAUGCUGGAUCUAACAUAGGGUCACUCCCCACAUUCCCUUCUGGAUUCAACAUUCCAUUAUCCGUUGAGUUUUCUGGUUUUACAGGUUUUUUGUUUGGUGCCUCUGGUAAAGAAUCUGCUGGUUUAUUUUCUGUUGGUUGGUUCUCAACUGUUCCAGUAGAUACUUUUCCAUUUUCAGAUGGUUUAUUUUCACCAUUUCCUUGAGGUGCUUCUCCUGUAAAAUCUGCCAUAUUCUUUUUAAUGACUUCUCCCGAUGGUAAAUAUAAUUCAAUUGUUCCGUCCAUAUUAAACAAGACAUUUUCUAGCUUCAUCCCAUAACUUUCAGCAAAUUUUGCUACUUUUUCUUGUACAGGAUCCACUGUAGGAACUUCUUCUAACGUUGAAUUACUAGUACUAUUCCCAGUUUCAGAAAGUUUUUCUUUUUCUACCUUCUCACUAGUCUUUGGUUCUUCUACCUUUUCAUCAAGUUUUGAGUUUUCUUGUGCUUUAUUCCUUUUAAAUUGUGGUAGAAUACUUGGUUUAUCAGUUUGAUUUUCUUUUUCCAAGAUAGGUACUUCCACAAUAUAAGUCGAUUGAUUGUCCAAAUAAGCAUUUGCCAUGAAGGUUACAGGAAUUUUAUUUCCGGCCGUUCUGGUUGUUCCUUGGUUUAAUUUCGGAAUCGGUAAUUUAAUUUCACCAACUUUAUAGUUAUUUUCUAAAUAAGCAUUUCCAUGAAAUUCAUCAAACACUCUGACUAAAGCAUCAGUUCCUUUAGGCACUGCAAAUUGAGGGUUCACUCUUAAAUAAGUAUCCCCUGCAUGGAAAGGAUAGAAAAUCGUUUGACUGGCCAUUUUGUAAGCUAAAGAGGUUGGAACUGUAAAUGUACCAUCAUAACUUACUUCUGGAUAAUCUUUUGAAGCGAUAGUAUACUUAAAUGUUUGUCCUGGUAAAUAAGGUUGAUCUAAUUCAAAGUUUGCAAUAUUCCCUACUCCUUCUCCAAAUACUUUACCAGAUACUUUCUCCAAUACUUUUCCAUCUGGUGUUAUUAAUUUUACUAGCAUAUUGAUACCUAAUUUUUUCUCCAAUUCAGGCGGAAAACUAAAAGAAACGCGUUUUUGACCAUUGGCUAGAGUAAAGUUUUGAUUAUUAAACGUACUAUUUUUUAACAAAUUAACAACAUUCGUUAAUUCUUCUCCAGUAUAAACUUUAUUCCCUUCUUUUUUAGCAACUCCUUCUUCGGGUUUAAACAGUUCAUAGUUACUGUGAGAAUGACCAAUUCCAACCGGUUUAUGUUCAUCAAUCGGAUCUGCAUGAUGGUGAUCUCCAUGCGGAUAAAUAAUCGCAUUUUUUUCUUUAUUCACGACAAUACUUUCACGUUUGACACCAUAUUGUUUCAUAAUGCCAGCAAUUUUUUCUUCGAUUUUUUUAUCUAAAUCUUUCAUUUCUUUGGCAUUACUUGGAUAAUCCUGUUCAUGAGAUGACAAAGAAUCUAAUCCAUUAUGACUAGUUUUAACUUCCUCUAAAUGUUUUUGCGCAGCCUUAAUUUGCUCUUCUGUCAAGUCCUUCUUGAAGAAAUAAUGAUUGUGGUCUCCGUGACUCAUGACAAAACCUGAUUCAUCUUCAGCGAUAAUACGAUUAGCAUCAAAUCCGUAUCCAUCUUCUUCAUGUUUCUCAUGUGAAGUUCCUGGAUUGAUUGGAAGAGAUGGAGAAGGUGUUGCUAGACUAUUGUUUGGAAGAGUCGGUUGCCCAAUUUGAUUUGAUUUUGGAAUGUAAUGGAAAUGAUCACCAUGUCUUACAAUAUAAGCUGUAGCCGUUUCUUCAACGAUAUCUUUUGGAUUAAAAAUAUAACCAUCAGAUGCUGAAGAGAGUUCCUUACUUGUCGUUAAAGAAGAAGGAUUGCUUGAAAGACUGCCUAGACUAGACACUACUUCAUUAGGUUUUGCAUUUGUAGAAACUGUAGAACCAGUUCCACUGAUAGGCACCAUUCUGGCAAUCUUUUCUUCUAAGGCAGAAAGCUUGCUGUAAGGAAUAAAGUGGUAAUGGUCGCCAUGCGGAAUCGCAACUCCAUUUGGUGUACGACUGAUAAUCUUAGCAGGGUCAAAGACCAGGCCAUCUGAUUCACUGUAACGUUGGGCGCUAGGUGAAUCAUAGAGUUCCUUCAAAAGACUCUGGAGAUUUUCAGAUUUAUUUGCUGGCUUGCUAGUUGAUCCUUUUGCUACAGAUUGCGUGUUAUUGUCACUAGCUGUUGAAGAAUAGCUUAACUGACUCGGUUGCAUAUUUUUUCCAGCCAGAUGUGCUUUAGCUGCUGCUAAUUCACUAGCAGAUAAAUCGCUUUUGGGAAUGUAGUGAUAGUGACCUCCAUGAGGAACGAUAUAAGCAUUACCCGUAUCUUCGAUAAUAUCAGCUGGAUUAAAGACAUAACCAUCAUUUGUCGUAUAUCGUCCCUGAGACCUUGCUACAGCAACAUUAGAGUUAACCUUCUCAUUAUCUUUGACAUGUUCUUGUUUUUGACGAUUGAUUUCAUCUUUAGUUCGAACAUUAUCAGCAUGAGCUGCAUCUUUCAGGUAGACAUAAUAUUUUCCAUCGACCUUGAUGAUAUAACCACCCUUGACUUCAUUGACAAUAUCAGCGUCUUUAAGUUGAUAGUUUGGAUCCUUCAUCAAGAGUUCUUCACUAAAGAGGGCAUCAUAAGGAACUUUCCCAUUAUAGUAAUGAUAGUGGUCACCGUGUGACGUUACAUAGCCCUGAUCUGUAAUUUUGAUUACAAUUUGCUCAGCCUGAAUUCCUUCUUUCUGGCUAACCUGGUCUGGUGUCAAGUUUUCACUUUUCUGACUUGACUGGCUGCCAUCCACAUAAGAGACACGAUUAUUGUCCUUAUUUUCCUGCGAACGAUGCUGGUUUAGUGCAUAGGCACAUAGACUCAAGGAUACGAUAACAGCUGAUCCAGCUGCUAUAUAUUUUUUACUAAAUUUCAUAAAUCCCUCAUUUCAAUAAAUGAUGAAGUUUUUUCUCAACUUCUUUUACUUUAUUAAAUAGUUUUCUAAACCGGUUAUUUAACCAUUUAAUUAACCAGUAAAUAGUUUACUAUUUAAAAUUACUUUUGUCAAGUUUCUGUUACGUUUUUCUAAAAAAGAGAAGUAACACGAAAGGUUACUUCUCCAUAAAAUAUGCUCCAUUCAUUUUACUACUGUAUCGGAGCCGGUUGACUUUUUUUUAACAAAGCCAAGAGACUAUCUACUUCUGCUGAAAUAGUGUUAUUAUCUUUCGUUCCGAGAAGAAGACUACUUUUUAGACCAGUCAAUGUCUCCAUAGCAUUUUGUCUAAUACUAGAAUCUGUUACUUUUUCUAGCAAGGCCUCCGCCUCUGCUAUCUUAGCGUUAAUAACAGAAUUCUCUACUUGAGGAAUUUCAGUCUCAUCUGUAGUAUCUUCAGCUUCUUCCUCUGUCUCUUCCGUAUCAGUGCUUGGUUUAUAAAGAUUAUCUGCUGAAGGAUUUAAACCAGCGUGAUUCUCUUUUUCAUCAGAUUCAGGGUGAGUUGGCUCACUUACUUCAUCAUGUCCCUUAUCUUCAUCAGGUUUACUGUCUUGGUCUGCCUUAUUUUUACGAACAUNGAAAAGCUUCUAGCGUUUAAACAUACUCUACCCGUACCGCAAACCGACACAGGUAGUCGAGGCGAGUAGCCUCAGGUGAGCGAGAGAACUCUCGUUAAGGAACUCGGCAAAAUGACCCCGUAACUUCGGGAGAAGGGGUGCUGACUUAAAGUCAGCCGCAGUGAAUAGGCCCAAGCAACUGUUUAUCAAAAACACAGCUCUCUGCUAAAUCGUAAGAUGAUGUAUAGGGGGUGACGCCUGCCCGGUGCUGGAAGGUUAAGAGGAGUGCUUAGCGUAAGCGAAGGUAUGAAUUGAAGCCCCAGUAAACGGCGGCCGUAACUAUAACGGUCCUAAGGUAGCGAAAUUCCUUGUCGGGUAAGUUCCGACCCGCACGAAAGGCGUAAUGAUUUGGGCACUGUCUCAACGAGAGACUCGGUGAAAUUUUAGUACCUGUGAAGAUGCAGGUUACCCGCGACAGGACGGAAAGACCCCAUGGAGCUUUACUGCAGUUUGAUAUUGAGUGUCUGUACCACAUGUACAGGAUAGGUAGGAGUCUAAGAGAUCGGGACGCCAGUUUCGAAGGAGACGCUGUUGGGAUACUACCCUUGUGUUAUGGCCACUCUAACCCAGAUAGGUGAUCCCUAUCGGAGACAGUGUCUGACGGGCAGUUUGACUGGGGCGGUCGCCUCCUAAAAGGUAACGGAGGCGCCCAAAGGUUCCCUCAGAAUGGUUGGAAAUCAUUCGCAGAGUGUAAAGGUAUAAGGGAGCUUGACUGCGAGAGCUACAACUCGAGCAGGGACGAAAGUCGGGCUUAGUGAUCCGGUGGUUCCGUAUGGAAGGGCCAUCGCUCAACGGAUAAAAGCUACCCUGGGGAUAACAGGCUUAUCUCCCCCAAGAGUUCACAUCGACGGGGAGGUUUGGCACCUCGAUGUCGGCUCGUCGCAUCCUGGGGCUGUAGUCGGUCCCAAGGGUUGGGCUGUUCGCCCAUUAAAGCGGCACGCGAGCUGGGUUCAGAACGUCGUGAGACAGUUCGGUCCCUAUCCGUCGCGGGCGUAGGAAAUUUGAGAGGAUCUGCUCCUAGUACGAGAGGACCAGAGUGGACUUACCGCUGGUGUACCAGUUGUCUUGCCAAAGGCAUCGCUGGGUAGCUAUGUAGGGAAGGGAUAAACGCUGAAAGCAUCUAAGUGUGAAACCCACCUCAAGAUGAGAUUUCCCAUGAUUAUAUAUCAGUAAGAGCCCUGAGAGAUGAUCAGGUAGAUAGGUUAGAAGUGGAAGUGUGGCGACACAUGUAGCGGACUAAUACUAAUAGCUCGAGGACUUAUCCAA